CUGUCCGCGCUGAGAUGGUGCCCGGGAAACCCGGCAGCAUGGAGCGUACCCCCCCUGCUUAUCGGCACCUUUGUUACCUUCGGCGGGGCCACCCGCCGCUGGAUCCCAACCACCUUGUAUGAAGCAUCCACCUUCUGACGCCUGACGAAUUA
rnacentral:misc_RNA from 1 species